rnacentral:rRNA from 1 species
UACGUAGGUGGCAAGCGUUGUCCGGAUUUACUGGGCGUAAAGCGCAUGUAGGCGGCAGCGCAAGUCGGGCGUGAAAUCCCACGGCUCAACCGUGGAAGUGCACUCGAAACUGCGCAGCUAGAGUCCUGGAGAGGAAGGUGGAAUGCUUGGUGUAGAGGUGAAAUUCGUAGAUAUCAAGCGGAACACCGGUGGCGAAGGCGGCCUUCUGGACAGUGACUGACGCUGAGAUGCGAAAGCGUGGGGAGCAAACAGG